UACAGAGGUCUCAAGCGUUGUUCGGAUUUACUGGGCGUAAAGGGCUCGUAGGUGGCCAACUAAGUCAGACGUGAAAUCCCUCAGCUUAACUGGGGAACUGCGUCUGAUACUGGAUGGCUUGAGUUUGGGAGAGGGAUGCGGAAUUCCAGGUGUAGCGGUGAAAUGCGUAGAUAUCUGGAGGAACACCGGUGGCGAAGGCGGCAUCCUGGACCAACACUGACACUGAUGAGCGAAAGCUAGGGGAGCGAACGGG
rnacentral:rRNA from 1 species